rnacentral:rRNA from 1 species
UCGGGAAUAUUGCGCAAUGGGCGAAAGCCUGACGCAGCAACGCCGCGUGAGUGAUGAAGGCCUUCGGGUCGUAAAGCUCUGUCGGAGGGAACGAAUGCUCCUGAAGUUAACAGCCUCAGGAGGUGACGGUACCCUCAAAGGAAGCACCGGCUAACUCUGUGCCAGCAGCCGCGGUAAUACGAAGGGGGCUAGCGUUGUUCGGAAUUGCUGGGCGUAAAGCGCACGUAGGCGGACUGAUAAGUCAGGGGUGAAAUCCCGGGGCUCAACCUCGGAACUGCCUUUGAUACUGUUAGUCUCGAGUCCGGAAGAGGUGAGUGGAAUUCCUAGUGUAGAGGUGAAAUUCGUAGAUAUUAGGAAGAACACCAGUGGCGAAGGCGGCUCACUGGUCCGGUACUGACGCUGAGGUGCGAAAGCGUGGGGAGCAAACAGGAUUAGAUACCCACGUAGUCCCUGAGCGGGCUGGCAAGGCGCAU